AUCUGGCACCUUCGGUGUCCGAGUUGUAAUCUCUAGAAAUGUUUUCCGCGCUGGACCGCACACAAGUCUGUUGGAAUACAGCGGCAUAGUGGUGAGACCCCGUAUAUGGUGCGGAUGCCCAGCGCUUUGUGAUACAUUUUCGAAGAGUCGAGUUGUUUGGGAAUGCAGCUCAAAUUGGGUGGUAAAUUCCAUCUAAAGCUAAAUAUUGGCGAGAGACCGAUAGCGAACAAGUACCGUGAGGGAAAGAUGAAAAGCACUUUGGAAAGAGAGUUAACAGUACGUGAAAUUGUUGGAAGGGAAACGCUUGAAGUCAGACUUGCUUGCCGAGCAAUCGGUUUGCAGGCCAGCAUCAGUUUUCCGGGAUGGAUAAUGGUAGAGAGAAGGUAGCAGUUUCGGCUGUGUUAUAGCUCUCUACUGGAUACAUCUUGGGGGACUGAGGAACGCAGUGUGCCUUACGGCGGGGGUUUCGACCUCUUCACACUUAGGAUGCUGGUGGAAUGGCUUUAAACGACCCGUCUUGAAACACGGACCAAGGAGUCUAACAUGCUUGCGAGUAUUUGGGUGUCAAACCCGGAUGCGUAAUGAAAGUGAAUGGAGGUGGGAACCGCAAGGUGCACCAUCGACCGAUCUGGAUUUUUAAUGAUGGAUUUGAGUAAGAGCACGUAUGUUGGGACCCGAAAGAUGGUGAACUAUGCCUGAAUAGGGCGAAGCCAGAGG
rnacentral:rRNA from 1 species